rnacentral:rRNA from 1 species
CUUGCUCACUAUUAGACAAUCACCUAUUCCCAAACCUCGUGUGGGACCAAUCCUUUUCAUUUACGAUCCCACGCUAAACCAUUUUCGUUCCGCUUGGCCCUAUCAGCUAUUAUAGUGAUAGGUUCUAUAGGAACUACCGUAUGGGCUACACUUGUAUUCCUAGGUAGCACAUCAUAUGGUUAG